rnacentral:lncRNA from 1 species
UAUAUAACUAAAAUGUGCAUAAUAUUUGUCACGAUCAAAACCGAUGGACCGCGAUGGGUACCCGGUACCUUACUCAACCGAGUACUAAUGUAACGUAUCUUUCUUAUUACAUCAUCAUAUACACGUGACAUACGAGCCUAAUAGGCCAACAUAAUCAUUUAUAAACUCAAAACAUAAGCCGACAAGGCCGUACAAUCUUUCACGUACACGACAUACGUCUACAAGCCUCUAAGAGUACAUAAAUAUCAUAAAGGUCGGGACAGAGUCCCGCCAUACCAAACAAUACACGUCUAAAUCAUAUUAACCAAACAAGCAACUCCGAAGCAAAUGGAGCGCACCAACAUCUUCCGCUGAGCUGAUAGCCUACUUGGAGGGCUCUCGACCUGUCUAUGGGAUCUGCGGGCAUGAAACGCAGCGUCCACAGGCAAAAGGGACGUCUGUACGAAAAAUGUACCGAGUAUGCAGGGCACAUAAAUAAGUACAUAACAGACAUGGAAGAAAUAUGGAGUACAUGACUCAACCUGUAAGUCUGAAUAACUUUGUAAAUCAUGAAAUAAUUACAGUAUCAUGCAUAUGCGUAUGAAUGUCAUGUCGUGCAUAGGUACAUAUGUUCAUAACAUCAUCAAGCCUCUGAGGGCAUCCCAUCAUAUCAUCUCAGCCACUGUAGGUAAAUCAUCAACGUAUACCAGCUGAUCAGGUGGUGGUGCGUAUAUAACGCCAUAACCUUUCCAAUAUCCUAUAUACAUAUAUAUACAUACAUAUAUACGCGUAUAUAAUGCCAUCUGGUCACGGGUCAAUGUACAUGAAUGCAAUGCAUGAAAAGUACGUUAAUAAAAUCUUUCGAAAUGUCAUAAGCCCAUUUUGCCUUUGAGUAAUACCAUAAAGUAAGCUCGUUUCAACUUUCGUAUUUUUCUGCGACCCAUGAACAGAUGAUAAAAUAUUAUAAAACAUGGAAAUUCAAGAACAUAGAUAUCUCUAAUACUUCUAUGAAUAGAGUCAUUUAUGAAAUUUGUGCAUUUGCACGUUUCGCUCGUAUCAUAUGGAUCAUGCCAAAAGAAAGAAGGGAUAGCCUUAACAUACCUGUUCCUUGAAUUAUUUGCACGAAAUGAAGCUUCUGCUCCUUUGAACUUGAACGAAAUUGACGCUUGGACUCUAUAAAAUUGGAACGAAAUUCUUUCUGCUUGUCUAGAUUUUGGGACGUUAGUCUCUUUUGUCCAAAUCAAGAAAGCUAAUCUACCGAUCCUUCACGUUUUCUUGGAACAAAUUGAACAAAAUCUUAAUCUUGCUACUGUUUGUCUUUGUAAUGGAAUGAAUUGGAAAGACUUUUAUUCGUAAUGGAAUGAAUUGGAAAGUCUUGUAAUGGAAUGAAUUGGAAAGACUUGGAACAAAAUCUCCUACUACUCACGUUUCUGUUGUUCCUAAGUCUUUAAGUAGUAAGAAUGUUAUAUUGUUUCUUUUUUGAUCAAAUGAAGCCCAACUUUCUAA